rnacentral:rRNA from 1 species
AUUGAACGCUGGCGGCAUGCCUUACACAUGCAAGUCGAACGGUAACGGGUCCUUCGGGAUGCCGACGAGUGGCGAACGGGUGAGUAAUAUAUCGGAACGUGCCCAGUAGUGGGGGAUAACUGCUCGAAAGAGCAGCUAAUACCGCAUACGACCUGAGGGUGAAAGGGGGGGAUCGCAAGACCUCUCGCUAUUGGAGCGGCCGAUAUCAGAUUAGCUAGUUGGUGGGGUAAAGGCCUACCAAGGCAACGAUCUGUAGUUGGUCUGAGAGGACGACAAGCCACACUGGGACUGAGACACGGCCCAGACUCCUACGGGAGGCAGCAGUGGGGAAUUUUGGACAAUGGGCGCAAGCCCGAUCCAGCAAUGCCGCGUGCAGGAAGAAGGCCUUCGGGUUGUAAACUGCUUUUGUCAGGGAAGAAAUCUUCUGGGCUAAUACCCCGGGAGGAUGACGGUACCUGAAGAAUAAGCACCGGCUAACUACGUGCCAGCCGCCGCAGUAAUAC